CUUGCCAGGGAACUACAAGCCCUAGCUUAAAACCCAAAGGACUUGGCGGUGCUUUAGACCCCCCUAGAGGAGCCUGUUCUAGAACCGAUAAUCCCCGUUAAACCUCACCCUCUCUUGCUUUUCCCGCCUAUAUACCGCCGUCGUCAGCUUACCCUAUGAAGGAUUUAAAGUGAGCAUAAUUGGUACAACCUAAAACGUCAGGUCAAGGUGUAGCGUAUGAGAGGGAAAGAAAUGGGCUACAUUCACUGAUUCAGUGAAAACGGACGAUGCCUUGAAAUACUCAUCCAAAGGAGGAUUUAGCAGUAAGAGAGAAAUAGAGUGUUUCUCUGAAAUUGGCCCUGAAGCGCGCACACACCGCCCGUCACUCUCCCCAAGUGCCAACAUAAAAGUAAAUAAAUAACCAACAAAACAAAGGGGAGGCAAGUCGUAACAUGGUAAGUGUACCGGAAGGUGCACUUGGAAAAU
rnacentral:rRNA from 1 species